UUGUAGUCAUUUGCUUGUCUCAAAGCUUAAGCCAUGCAAGUCUCAGUACAAGCCGAAUUAAGGUGAAACCGCAAACGGCUCAUUAAAUCAGUUUUAGUUCACUUGAGUAGCAAACAUCCGUUUCUGGAUAACUGUGGCAAUUCUAGAGCUAAUACAUGCAAACAAAGUCCCGACCAGUGAUGGAAAGGACGCUUUUAUUAGAUCAAAAUCAAUCGGCGGUAACCCCUCUUUGCAGGGUGCGUGCCGCCGUUUAUUUUGGUGACUCUGAAUAACAAACCGGAUCGCACGGUCCUCGCACCGGCGACCCAUCUUUCAAAUGCCUGACUUAUCAACUGUCGAUGGUAGAUUUUACGUCUACCAUGGUUGUAACGGGUAACGGGGAAUCAGGGUUCGAUUCCGGAGAGGGAGCCUGAGAAACGGCUACCACAUCCAAGGAAGGCAGCAGGCACGCAAAUUACCCACUCCCGGCACGGGGAGGUAGUGACAAAAAAUAACGAUACGGGACUCAUCCGAGGCCCCGUAAUCGGAAUGAGAACACUCUAAAUCAUUUAACAAGGACCUAUUGGAGGGCAAGUCUGGUGCCAGCCAAGCCGCGA
rnacentral:rRNA from 1 species